rnacentral:rRNA from 1 species
CACGUAUUUAGCCGGGGCUUCCUCCUAUGAUACCGUCAUUAUCUUCUCAUAGGACAGAGCUUUACGAUUCGAAAACCUUCUUCGCUCACGCGGCGUCGCUGCAUCAGGGUUUCCCCCAUUGUGCAAUAUUCCCCACUGCUGCCUCCCGUAGGAGUCUGGACCGUGUCUCAGUUCCAGUGUGGCCGUUCGUCCUCUCAGACCGGCUACUGAUCGUCGCCUUGGUAGGCCUUUACCCUUCAACUAGCUAAUCAGACGCGAGCCCAUCUUACACCGAUAAAUCUUUGACCCCUAUACCAUGCAGUAUUGUGGUCUCAUGCGGUAUUAAUCGUCGUUUCCAACGGCUAUCCCCCUGUGUAAGGUAGGUUGCUCACGUGUUACUCACCCGUUCGCCACUUUCAUUUUAUUUCCGUCCCCGAAGGUUCUUCCAUAAAAAUCACGUUCGACUUGCAUGUGUUAAGCACGCCGCCAGCGUUCGUCCUGAGCCACGGAGUCAAACCUACU